CCGUGCCAAGGUAGCGCAAUCACUUGUCUCUUAAAUAGGGACCAGUAUGAAUGGAUAGACGAGGGCUUAACUGUCUCCUCUCCCUGGUCAAUGAAAUUGAUCUCCCCGUGCAGAAGCGGGGAUACCCCCAUAAGACGAGAAGACCCCAUGGAGCUUUAGACACUAGUAAACCUAUGCACUACCCCCUUGCCUUCCCCCAAAACGUACUGUAGGACUUAUACUACUUGUCUUAGGUUGGGGCGACCAUGGAGAAAA
rnacentral:rRNA from 1 species